rnacentral:rRNA from 1 species
AAGUAUAUGCGUUUUUAGAACGCAGAAACUGCGAACGGCUCAUUACAACAGUUAUCAUCUACUUGACAUCUUCCCCCUAUAAGGAUACCUGCGGAAAAGCUGCAGCUAAUACUUGACCGAUGCCACCCUUUUCCCUCGUGGUUUGGGGUGGCGGUACUUGUUAGCUCUGCAAGAAAAAGGAAAAGACGGGAGUGAGAACAAAGAAGCGACACGUAUGUGGGGUUCGUCCUCACAUGAAGUGCGGAUCAAUCGAGUUUCUGACCUAUCAGCUUUGGAUGUUAGGGUAUUGGCCUAGCAUGGCGAUGACGGGUAACGGGGAAUUGGAGUUCGAUUCCGGAGAGGGAGCCUGAGAAAUCGCUACCACAUCUAAGGAAGGCAGCAGGCGCGUAAAUUACCCAAUUCUGACGAAGAGAGGUAGUGACAAGAAAUAUCAAUGCAAGGUCCAUUCGGACUUUGCAAUUGAAAUGGUGGGAAUCUAAACCCUUCCCAGAGCAGCCAUUGGAGGGCAAGUCUGGUGCCAGCAGCCGCGGUAAUUCCAGCUCCAAUAGCGUAUAUUAACAUUGUUGCAGUUAAAACGCUCGUAGUUGACCUUCAAGGACGUGGUCUUCCGGGGAGCUCGCCGGGCACUUUCUUCCUUUGUGAAGAGGGUGUUCGGUGCGGCGUUCCCCUCUGCGAUACGUCCUUUUAGGGGAACGUUUUUGUUAUCCUUCGGGGUGGCGCGUUCCCUUGUUACUUUGAGUAAAUUAGAGUGUUCAAGGCAGGCAACUGCUCGGGGCGACCCGCUUGAAUACUACAGCAUGGAAUAACGGAAUUGAGGAAGCCAAUAGGGGUUUCUCCAUUUUUCUUGGAUUGGCUUUUUGUAGGUACGAUUAAUAGGAGUAGCUUGGGGGCCUUCGUAUUCAGAUGUUAGAGGUGAAAUUCUUAGAUUUUCUGGAGACGAACUACUGCGAACGCGUUGGCCUAACAUACUUCCAUUAAUCAAGAACGAAAGUUAAGGGAUUGAAGACGAUCAGAUACCGUCGUAAUCUUAACCAUAAACUAUGCCGACUGGGCGUCGGGCGGGUCCUUUUGGUUGUGACCUUCCACACACGCCUGCAUCUUUCGGGAUGUAUGGUGUGUCCGUGGGGGGCAUGCCGUACGAACUCCCUCGGUACCCUGAGAGAAAUCAAAGUCUUUGGGUUCUGGGGCGAGUAUUCGCGCAAGCGAGAAAGUUAAAAGAAUUGACGGAAGGGCACCACCAGGCGUGGAGCUUGCGGCUUAAUUUGACUCAACACGGGGAACCUCACUAGUUUACGACAAGAGUAGGAUUGACAAUGCGAGAAUUUUCUUCUCUGAUUGAAGCUCUUUCUUGAUUUCUUGGUGGGUGAUGCAUGGCCGUUUUUAGUUCGUGAAAUGAUUUGUCUGGUUAAUUCCGAUAACGAACGAGAUCUCACCCUGCUUAUUAGCACCGGGUGCAUCAUGUCUCCUCGGCGCGCGCGACUGGCUCGCUUUGCAGAUCGUUGGAAAGAGGGGCGUGUUUGAGGUAGGUAUAUAUAGUUGGAGUGUGACUUCGAGUCUGCCGCUGUAUAUUCUACCCGCACGUCUUGUUAUCUUCUCCUUCGGGUAUGCUCUGCGUCGCCGGCACGCGUGUUCGUGGGGACGCCCCCGGCUCUUAGCUUCUUAGAGGGACUGGGGAUGUAGAAUCCCAGGAAGUUUGAGGCCACAACAGGUCUGUGAUGUCCUUAGAUGAACUAGGCUGCACGCGUGCUACACUGAUGCGUGUAGCGAGCUGCUGGGGUGUGGCCGGUCCAUGUGUGCUUCCUUUCGGGGGAGUGGAUAUGGGACUAGUCCACCCUCCUGCUCCGAGAGGAGUGGGGAAUCUGGAGUACGCAUCGUGAUGGGGAUAGACGAUUGCAAUUAUUCGUCUUGAACGAGGAAUGCCUAGUAAGCAUGAUUCAUCAGAUUGUGCUGACUACGUCCCUGCCCUUUGUACACACCGCCCGUCGCUCCUACCGAUUGAAAGAUAUGAUGAAUUGUUCGGACUGCGCUGCGGGGGCUUAUUGUUUCCGCGGCGUGGGAAGAACCGUAAAUCCUAUCUUUUAAAGGAAG